GUGAAGAGGGAGCGUGAAGACACACACACACACACACACACGAACACUUGACACUUGAUGAAACUCUUGUGCGCAGCCGAGGUUUGUGUUGGUGAGACAUGAAAGCGGCCGCGUCGAUGCGCUCCGCGCUCUGAUUGGCUGACUGGCCUGUUACAGAUUACAGCGCGACCAGAGCCGAUGACAGGCAAGAUGAAACACACACAAGCGCGCGCACACACACACACGCACAAACACGCACACACACACACGCACGCACACGCACACACACACACACGCUUCCUUUUGUGUCCGGCGUGGUAACGGGGAAGAAGAAAAACAUAAUUCAUAUUAUUGCUAUCACCAACUGUAUUUUGUGUACAAACCUGUAUUUUAUAUACUGCAUUUUAUUGUUUUAUUCCAUUAAUUGCCAAUUAUUUUGUUAAACUAUUUUUGAUAUGAUCUUAUCUUAUAUCUUAUAUUCCUAAAUUCUCUUCGUCACAUCACCGUUUCUUUGCCAUUAAAAAAAGAAAACGUUUCCUGUAAUGGGUGAAACAGCGCCCCCACAUAGCGCCUGUUAAACGGACGGCGCCUCGUGUGUGGUCAAACGAUGGUAUUGCAGCCUCAUCGUGGGCGACAAACCAGGUUAAGUUGAUUAAAGCGUCGAAGAAGAUGAUGUUACCGGAAGUGUCUAACAACAUGGCCGCCCGAGGAAAGGAAGCUGUAAAGUUCAGUGUCAAUUAUCGAACUCUUUCACUUUGGAACCACAAAAGUUUAUCACUGUGUUUUGAACGAUAUAAGAGGAAGAAUCGAGAUGUACGUUUUUGAAGAAAUCAGCUCCCGUCGUUUGUGAACUGAAGAUGGAGAGAAGAGCCACCUGAGCAGCGACAGGUACUGAAGGACGUCAGCGACGUGACGUGGAACUUCAACUUCAAGAAACCACUACAUGUGGACAUAUUAAAAUCUUUGGCUUGUCUGAGUCUGAUGUGGUGGAUGAAGAUAUGAUGGACAGGCGAGCACGAGAACCUAUCGAGCAGAUCAGACGUUCUAAAAACAAAACAGCGGGAACAGAACAGGAGGGGAUGAAGACGACGACGAUGAGGAGGAGGACAGAAGUUCAGCGCUCACCUCACUCAUCUGUAAUUAAAUCAGAUGCUCGGAGUGAAUCUGGGGGAUUGUUGGCGCGACACCAUGUGGAAACAAACCCUCUGGGCUCAAGAGUCCACAUCUGGAAACAUCCAGGUCUUAAAGCCAAGUGUGAACCUCUGGCGACAUCUAGUGGCUCAGAUGUGUCCAGGCUCUCCCCAGUAAUAAUACAUGAAGGGCUCCUCUCCCUCAUCCAUUAAUCAGCAGGGAAGCUGAGCGAGUGAUGUGCCGGAGCUGUGUCUCUCCCAGACGCAGUGACUCCCUGGAGCCUCAGCUGGUUUUCCCGGCGUCCUCACUGCGUCAACCACUGUUCACUCAGCAUGUGGCUCCUCCAUGAACCAAGUGAGAAAUACAAGACACUGAUAUUAAUUCAGCUGAAAAGAGAAAUGACAGUAACUGGCCUUUCACCCUCUCUGCCGCUUUCCCUCCACUUUUCCCCUCUUUAAAUUUUCCUCAUGUCACGGCGGCAUUUGCAUCUCAGACAUGAACGUGGAUCAAUCAUCGCAGGGAGGGGAAGAACGGGCCGGGGUGUUAAAAUGUCCCGAUGAUUGGCUGCCUGUGCCGAGAGCUUUGUCAUCUGCACUUUCUCACGGCGACACACGGCCAUCGCGCUCUCGCUGGAAUCAGACGUCCGGGCAGUGGGCUCGUCUGCUCAGGCCGUUUAAACUCUAUUGUACGAGUAGACCCACAGGAUUUAAUUAGAAAAAAGUCGUAGUUAAUGAAGGUGGCAGCUGCAGCCGUCAAAAUACACACACACACACACACACACACACACACUCACACACACACUCACACACUCACAGACACUCACACACAC